rnacentral:rRNA from 1 species
GACCAGACUCCUACGGGAGGCAGCAGUGGGGAAUAUUGCACAAUGGGCGAAAGCCUGAUGCAGCAACGCCGCGUGAGCGAUGAAGGCCUUCGGGUCGUAAAGCUCUGUCCUCAAGGAAGAUAAUGACGGUACUUGAGGAGGAAGCCCCGGCUAACUACGUGCCAGCAGCCGCGGUAAUACGUAGGGGGCUAGCGUUAUCCGGAAUUACUGGGCGUAAAGGGUGCGUAGGCGGUCCGGAAAGUCAGCGGUAAAAGCCGGGGGCUCACCCCCGGCGAGCCGUUGAAACUGUCGGACUAGAGACGGCGAGAAGUACGCGGAAUGCGCGGUGUAGCGGUGAAAUGCAUAGAUAUCGCGCAGAACUCCGAUUGCGAAGGCAGCGUACCGGCGCCGGACUGACGCUGAGGCACGAAAGCGUGGGUAUCGAACAGGAUUAGAUACCCGAGUA